UACGGAGGGUGCGAGCGUUGUCCGGAAUUACUGGGCGUAAAGAGCUCGUAGGUGGUUUGUCGCGUUGUUCGUGAAAACUCACAGCUUAACUGUGGGCGUGCGGGCGAUACGGGCAGACUGGAGUACUGCAGGGGAGACUGGAAUUCCUGGUGUAGCGGUGAAAUGCGCAGAUAUCAGGAAGAACACCUAUGGCGAAGGCAGCUCUCUGGGACGGUACUGACGCUGAGACGCGAAAGCGUGGGGAGCGAACAGG
rnacentral:rRNA from 1 species